GAUGAACGCUGGCGGCGUGCCUAAUACAUGCAAGUCGAGCGAACAGACGAGGAGCUUGCUCCUCUGACGUUAGCGGCGGACGGGUGAGUAACACGUGGAUAACCUACCUAUAAGACUGGGAUAACUUCGGGAAACCGGAGCUAAUACCGGAUAAUAUAUUGAACCGCAUGGUUCAAUAGUGAAAGACGGUUUUGCUGUCACUUAUAGAUGGAUCCGCGCCGCAUUAGCUAGUUGGUAAGGUAACGGCUUACCAAGGCAACGAUGCGUAGCCGACCUGAGAGGGUGAUCGGACACACUGGAACUGAGACACGGUCCAGACUCCUACGGGAGGCAGCAGUAGGGAAUCUUCCGCAAUGGGCGAAAGCGUGACGGAGCAACGCCGCGUGAGUGAUGAAGGACUUCGGAUCGUAAAACUCUGUUAUUAGGGAAGAACAAAUGUGUAAGUAACUAUGCACGUCUUGACGGUACCUAAUCAGAAAGCCACGGCUAACUACGUG
rnacentral:rRNA from 1 species